CCUACGGGAGGCAGCAGUGGGGAAUAUUGCACAAUGGGGGAAACCCUGAUGCAGCGACGCCGCGUGAGUGAAGAAGUAUUUCGGUAUGUAAAGCUCUAUCAGCAGGGAAGAAAUAAAGUCCUUCGGACUUUGGACGGUACCUGACUAAGAAGCCCCGGCUAACUACGUGCCAGCAGCCGCGGUAAUACGUAGGGGGCAAGCGUUAUUCGGAUUUACUGGGUGUAAAGGGAGCGUAGGCGGCAGCGCAAGUCUGGAGUGAAAUCCCAUGGCUUAACCAUGGAAGUGCUUUGGAACCUGUGCAGCUGGAGUGCAGGAGAGGUAAGCGGAAUUCCUAGUGUAGCGGUGAAAUGCGUAGAUAUUAGGAGGAACACCAGUGGCGAAGGCGGCUUACUGGACUGUAACUGACGUUGAGGCUCGAAAGCGUGGGGAGCAAACAGGAUUAGAUACCCUUGUAGUC
rnacentral:rRNA from 1 species